AUCCAAGCAAUAUUAGCUAAAGGGAGUACACAAAGAAGGACACCAUUUUUUCCCUCCCACUCCCCAUCUGUCGUGGAAAACACACAGGUUUUCCUCCACAGGUUGAAAAGAACCUUAUGUCCUUGGAGGACAGACUUACAGUGCAUUGCAACAACAGUGUGAACCUUCUUCCUACUCCUCAACCCACAGUCCUGUUUUGAAGGCUGCAUUCUGAGAAUAGGCUUCACCAUGAUGCUGUUGGAACAUAAGCUACCAUGUUAAACAAGCAUGGCAUGAGGCUGACUAAUCCUGGUGAACUGUGUGGUUAAAUAGCUGCUCCUUAGAAGCAGUAGUGAUUACAAGCCUUGUCCAGCACUACGAAUCAGAAUGUCUUCCCUCUUCUUUUGAAGACUCUGACCAAUGUGUGGUAGCAGCUUGUGAGUAGGAAGACGGAAGAAUCUCCAUCUCUUUUGGCAUCAUGGAACUGUCCUGCAUGGCUUACUUCCAGACUUUGUUAUAAACUGUCACAGUCCAAAUUCCCAAUAAAUGCCUUCUGGACUGAAUUCAGGUGGGAGAAAUAAAAGGAAAAUGCAAGCCGUGUUUAGGAAAUGAGCUAUCACACAAAAAUAAAACAGAAAAAGGAAAUAAAUUUUCCUGAGCAACUUCUCCUAACUUCAAUAUCCAGAGAGAAAUUAAGAAAAUAAGAGGAAAGAUGAAAGCCUAACAAGAUUUAAGAAGAAAGUUUUCCAUUAUUCAUUUAAUUCACUUUUAGCUGACCAAGUUGUUCCUGUUGAAUAGAAAGCAUCGAGAAAAUGAAGAGAUCUAAAUGCCAGCAGGAGACGAGCUGCAUUCUUCUAGGCAUGUCCUGAGCCUAGUCACCCAGAACAACUUGUGAUCCCUGGACAAAGCCGUUCACAGCAGGUGGCCAUAUCAAGAAAUUUUCCUCCUGGAAUUAGAUAUUAUCCCAGGAAUCACUACUGAGUCAAACAUAAUGCCCCAUCCUGCUGGGUCAAGUAGGAUUCCAUUUCAAUUUCUUUACACAACGAUGCGUUUCAUCUUGUCUGCGUACAAUGACAGUGCUCAGGCAUGAAAUAAAUUGAAGUGCCUGAAAGGCAGAAUUAUCCCUUGAACCUGCAGCAUUCCCAACCCCAAAAACACACAUUGUCAAGUGAGUUCCAGAUAAGCAGGAUCUUCAGCAAGUGUUUGUGCUGCUUGGCUUCCUUUAAUCAUACUCCCUUUUGUAAAACGGAUUUUCGAGGGGAAAGAUAAAUCAUUUCUGAGGAAAAAGGUCAUUUUCAAAAGGCUUAAGAGGUUCAUUUUGUGUGGCUUUCCAAGGUGAAACAGGUAAUUCAGAGUAGUGAAAGUCUUUUGUGAUCAACUUAAUUCAUCCUUCAUAUUACCAAGAAUAAAAACUAUUGAAAUAAGACUGAAUAAACUUCUUUAUAACAAAGUUCCUAAGGAUAGAAAGUGAUGAUUUGUUGUUUGUUAAGAAACUGUCCAAACUCCAGCAAAUGAAAGUUUAGGUUGAGAGCAAGCUUUCCUUCCACCUUCUCUUCAGAAAGCAUAGUGGUUUUUCUGGGCUGUUUGGCACACAUAUUUCAAUAACUUAUCAAUAACACACCUCUGUUUACAGAACAUCAGGCUAGCUUCAGCAUAGCCGUAAAGCCAAAGAGCAUUUUUCUCCAUUGUCACAUUAUGUUUGAGCUCUUUAGAGAUACAGACUUGAGAAAAUUCAAGGAAUAACAUUUCCUUUCUAUUUUACUGAAAACAACCUUUCCAUAGCAGUCAGAUAUUUUGUAAUCUUAUAUUCCACCUGUGAGAAUAGUUUUCUUGAAUUUAUAUGUGGAAGAAAUUGAUACAGAAGAAAUAAGAUAUAUCUUAAUUUUAAUAAGUUAGAGUAUCUUGCAAAUUGUUACCAAAAACAACUACUAGGACAAAAGGAAAGAAAGUAAAAUACAUACAAUGACUUGAUAUUUAAUGCAUAAAUCUUGUAAAAUGUUUCUCUUUUAAUUUUGAUUGAUUUGAUUUAAAUGUGCAUCUUUAGGCAGUCUGGAAGGUCCUUUAGAAUAUACAAUAAUAACUAACUGCAAGUUGUUAUAUAUGUUUAGAAUUCUAUUAAUGUUCUUUUUAUCUAUAUAAUUGAAUAUUCAACAGUGAUCCCAACAUUCAAGUGAAUUUGCCUACCAGCUGAUAAUCGGUUUUAGACUUGCUUUCUUCCACAUUGUAUAAAUUAUUUAACUGUGUAUAUUGUGGCAGUAAGUGCUGUAAUUCUGCAAAGUUACUCUAGCUAAAAGAGUCAGGCACCUAUGAAUGCACAACUUUAGCCACUAACCCCACAGAAUUUACUCAGAGUAGUCUAAGGAAUCUAUAAAAAGAGAAACAGUUGUUACAGGCUAUUUACCUAGAAGAGUCAAUGAAAAAUAAUUCCACUUAUUGAAAAGGAAUAUCA
rnacentral:lncRNA from 1 species